GUGAGGAAUAUUGGACAAUGGGCGCAAGCCUGAUCCAGCCAUGCCGCGUGCAGGAAGACGCAUCUAUGGUGUGUAAACUGCUUUUGUACGGGAAGAAACACUCCCUCGUGAGGGAGCUUGACGGUACCGUAAGAAUAAGGAUCGGCUAACUCCGUGCCAGCAGCCGCGGUAAUACGGAGGAUCCAAGCGUUAUCCGGAAUCAUUGGGUUUAAAGGGUCCGUAGGCGGUUUAAUAAGUCAGUGGUGAAAGCCCAUCGCUCAACGAUGGAACGGCCAUUGAUACUGUUAGAAUUGAAUUACAAGGAAGUAACUAGAAUAUGUAGUGUAGCGGUGAAAUGCUUAGAUAUUACAUGGAAUACCAAUUGCGAAGGCAGGUUACUACUUGUGGAUUGACGCUGAUGGACGAAAGCGUGGGGAGCGAACAGGAUUAGAUACCCGGGUAGUCC
rnacentral:rRNA from 1 species